UACGAAGGGUGCAAGCGUUACUCGGAAUUACUGGGCGUAAAGCGUGCGUAGGUGGUUUGUUAAGUCUGAUGUGAAAGCCCUGGGCUCAACCUGGGAAUUGCAUUGGAUACUGGCAGGCUAGAGUGCGGUAGAGGAUGGCGGAAUUCCCGGUGUAGCAGUGAAAUGCGUAGAGAUCGGGAGGAACAUCUGUGGCGAAGGCGGCCAUCUGGACCAGCACUGACACUGAGGCACGAAAGCGUGGGUAGCAAACAGG
rnacentral:rRNA from 1 species